CCCUUAGAUGUUCUCGGCCGCACACGCGCUACACUGAAAGAGGCAACGUGUUUGCCUGAUUCGAAAGAAUUGGGUAACCCCCUAAUCUCUUUCGUGCUGGGGAUUGAGGUUUGCAAUUAUCCUUCAUGAACGAGGAAUUCCCAGUAAGUGCGAGUCAUUAUCUCGCGCUGACUACGUCCCUGCCCUUUGUACACACCGCCCGUCGCUACUACCGAUUGAAUGAUUUAGUGAGGACUUCGGACUGAGUCCAAUGCGGCUUUCGGGCUGCGUUGGUAUUUUGGAAAGAUGUCCAAACUGUAUCAUUUAGAGGAAGUAAAAGUCGUAACA
rnacentral:rRNA from 1 species